GAAAACAAGAUAUUUUGCCAUUGUCUGCCUUUACUUUACAUUCCAGUUCUUACAAAGUGUGACCUGAGACCCAUCUCACCCCCAUUUUCCAAAAGGCACCUGUCAUUAUCUCGACAUUCCCUUGGCGAAUCCUUUCUCUCCUUUGCCCCAUCCAUCUGGGCAAGAGUGGGAUUCUUGACCCGCUGAUCUGAGGUAGCUCUCUCCUCCAAACAUUCCCUCCUGGGCAGCUGACUGCCCUUUGCUCCUCUCUGGGCACCCCAGCAAGAGCUUCUGGUGGACAACACUGCUUGCUCUCAGAGGCCUCUCCCACCUCCAGUCCCUGACCCCCUGAGCCCUACGGUCCUUCCAGGUCGUAUGUCAUAUAAGAACAAAAUGCUUCCUUACGACUUCCCUACCAUCAAGCUCUGAGCUCAUGUUACUUAAAUACCUUCACAUCCUAUUCUCCAGGUUCAUUUUCCUCAAUCCAUAUUGAUUAAUUUAUAUAUUUUCCUGCCAAAUAUCACUUCCUCUCACCAGUGAUGGUGAUAAUAACUAUUACUUGUUGAGUUCUUACAAUUAUCAGACACUCUGCUAACACAUUGUCUCACUGAGUCUUCCUAGAAGCCAGCAAGGUAGGUAAUAAUAUUCUAUCCUUUUUGUUUUUCAGAAAACAAAAAUGAGGCACAAAAAGGUUAAGUAACUUGCCUAAGAUUGCACAGCCAGAAUCAGAUCAGGUAUUUCUAACCACCACAUCAUACAAGCCCACUGUAGAUGCUUUCUAUUUUCUAACAAUAAAGGGAAAGGAAAAAUGGAAGUGAUAUUUAAUGUAUACCUAGUAUGUACCACGCCAGGCACUGUAGUAGGAACUUUUAACUAUAUUGUUUAAUACUGAAAACAUGACCAUGAAACAUGUUUUGUCAUUAUGGUUAUAUAGUUGAGGAAACUGGCUCCAAGCAGUUCACUUCAGGACAUGCAUUAGUAAAUUUAAAAUCCAGAGCCAGUCAGAUGUUUGACUUCAGAAUCUGUGGUUUCCACUCAGUGUUUACCAAAAUGUGAGGGACACGCCACUAGAAGUAUGUAAGAUGAUUUUAGUUGAGGCAGAAUCAAAGCCUAAAGGGAGUUAAAUUAUUCAGAGAGGAAUUUGUUCCCUUUUCAAUUAUAUUUCCUUCAAUUGUAUAUAAUUUGCAACUAGACUUCCACACCUCUAACACUGGCAAUUUUUCCUUUUAAUCAAACAGGAACCUUCCAGGCAGAUAACAGUAUCUGGGUAGGAUUUGAUAACACUGCUUUAUUUUCAUUGCGUUUAUUUUUCUUCCUAUUCUCUAUUUACCAGUGCAAAUGAUACUUGUUUUUUAUCUACCACAGGGGUAUAUGGUUUUAUUUUUUAAAAGUUGAAUUGAUCUAAAUAGUUCUAUAAAAAUGCAUAAGGAGUGGCCAAACUAGUAAAGGUAGUGUUUACAUCAAUAAAGUGUGAAAAAUGACAAAAUUAGGCUGCUUCCAUCAUUAAUGAAUGGGUAUUCAUUGUGAUGGAGAUAUAGGAAAAUCUUGAAGUAGUUUUGGAAUAAUCACAGAAGAUUAGAUCAAAUUAUGUUCAGUAGAGCUUCAUUCGUUCAUUCAAUCAAAUCAUUCAUUCAACAAAUAUUUGGGGACUUCCUCUAAGCAUUAGCUAUGCAAGAAGUUGUUUCAGUAUAAAAUGUGAUAUGCAAGAGCAUAGGAUAUAGUGACAGGUGAGCCUGGGUUCAAAUGCUGACUAUCAGAAUUAGAAGUCCUUUGACUGUGAGUCCAUCCUUUAAUCUCUGUGAGCUUCAGCCUCCUUAUCUAUAAAAUGAGGUUGGACUCUACCUCUCAGUAUUAUGGUGGAGGCUGGACGAGGUGUUACAUGUGAAGUGCCUAGAUCUGUCAGGCAGUAAGCACUCAGCAAAUGUUCGUUCCUUUCUUUCGUAUCUUUAAUUCUUGGGAAAGUGGUAAUUAAUAUGUGGAAUGCAUGGUCAAUCUUUAUCCUCCAGGAUAUUUUACUAACCAGGACAGUCCAUUCUCUGAUCAGAUUUCACAGUAUAAGUAACUUUUGGGUUUUCUGCUGCUUGAAUGAUUCCCAUUGCAGUUGUCCUCUGAUUCAAGUUUUUCUUCCCACUAUCCUGCAAAUCUUUGAAGGCAAAGACCAGGCUGAGUUUGCUUUGAUAUAUCCAGUAUGUAGUACAUACCAAGUUCUAGUUAAGAGCUUGGCAAAUAAAUGACAGAAAGAGAGAGAGGGAGAAAGAAAGGAUGACCCUGGUUAUAUAUUCACCUCUGCUUUCCUUUAGUCAAACUGCAACUUGCCUGUGAUCACACAAAUUGACCUUCUUAAUUGCCACACAGCACACUUGAUAGUGAUAUCCACAAACCUGAGAUUUAUUUCAAAUGACCAACAUUUAUAGCUUGCCUCUAUUCCCUGUUUUAACUAUGGCUAGAACAUUAAUGUGCCUUUCUACAGAGAGGAGUUCAUGUGUGCCCAGCAUUCUUUUGUGCAGGAGGUUGCACAGGGGCAGGGCUAUAAGGUGAGUGUAUGUGUGUACAACAGUGCUAAUCAUAUCUGCACUUGCUGUGCCAGGUUGCAAAGAACCUGAAAUAAUGCAUGUAAAAAGAGAUUUCCUGUAUGAUUCUUUUAUUCCACUGCACACUUGGAAUAGCUCCCACCUCGGAAUCUCCGUAAUGGGACCCUCUUCAGGGCAGAUCCCUUUAUGAUGGAAGCCAUCCUUAAAUACUUGAGUUAUUAAGUCCCUUAUAACUUAAUGCAGAGCCACCUGAUAUCAAAUCCAAUCUGUCCUUGAAGAAUAAUAUUCAACUAUUCAUCAAAUAUGUAGUAAUCAUAUGCCAAGUUCAAGAAUUACCUACUACUUUUACUUUUCUAUAAUUCUUCUCUUGUUUAAUUACAUAUGACACAUAGGAAACAGGGAAGAAAAUGGGACUUACAAGGAAGGUUAGUUGCUGAGUCUGCGUAACAACAAGAAUUAAAUAGAUGACUUUGGGUAGAGACUCUGUUGAAUCUAUUUAGCAAAUUUAUUUACUGCACUAUGCUUUCAUUUCAUGAGAAAGGGAACGCCUAUAACUUCCUCUGGAACUCCCCUUAGUUUACAGCAGAACUCCCCUCUUUACUGCCUGGGCCUUUGAUAAAAGUCCAUUUUCUUCCUGUUUUUCCUGUCUGCUUUGUAAGAAUAUGUGCCAGGAGUGAUAGGCAUAAAGUAUGCUCCUUUUCAGACAGGCGACAUUUUUCAGCUAAUAUUUACAAGAGAGAACAGCAAUUAGCAAACAUGAAUCAUGUGUCUGAAUAGCUCAGAAUACCUAGAAGAUUAAUUGUUAUUUGGUCUAAUUUUGCCCCAAGUAAAGUUUCUAAGACGUGCAAAUUUUGAGCUUGAUUACUCCAUACAAAAUAAGGGGUUUAGGAAAUGCAAUACAUUUUUGAAAUCCUGAAACAUUCUUGCUUAUUGUAAGUUACAGAGUCAAUCAAAACACUGUUGGAAAGAAUUCUAUGAAGAGGUUUUUUUCUCAAGCCCAGCUACAAAUAAGAUUCAUUAAGCAGAGGCCCUCAAUCUUGGCUAACAUUGGAAUCACCUGGGAGGCUUUUAAAACACACUAAUGUCCAGACACUACUUUGGAUCUGUUAAAAUUAAAUUAUUUUGGGGAUGAGGUCAGCAUCAUUAAAAAUUUUCCUUUCCUGGGAGCUUCUCAUGUGCAGACAGUAUUGGGAACCAUUAGUUACACAAAUUAACAUUUGCACUUGCAAACAUCUUUUACCACCUUGCCCUUCAAAGUGUUGUCCUCAGCUUCACCUGGAAGCUAGGUAGAAGUGCAGAAUUUCAGGCCUACCCCAGACCUAGAGAAUCAGGAUCUGCAUUUAACAAGGUCACCGUGAUGUGCAUGCAUAUUAAUGUUCGAGAAGUAGAGUUAUAACAUUGGUCUGCAUUUGGACUGUCACUGGGAAGUAGAGUAAUAGUUGAUAUUUCUUAAAUGCAGUAAGUCAGACACUGGGCUAGCCCAUCAUUUCAUUUCAUGCUCCCAACAACUCUGCAAGGUAGAUGUUGCUAUCCACAUUUUACAGAUGGGGAAACUGAGACUUAAAGAAGUGAUGUAACUUGCCCAAGGUCAAAGAAUGGUAGCUCAUGGAACCAGAAUUCAAAUUCAUCUCUGUGUCUUCAAUGCAUAUUUAUUUCUGUGCUACCAAUGACUGCAGUUAUGACUAUAUAUCCAUUGGCAUGUGUACACUACAUCCAUGAGUGAGGUGUUUUUUUUUGUUGUUGUUUUGUUUUUUUUGCUGUAUGUUAAGGAAAAGAUGUUUGGUUUUCUAUUUUACAUGCCACAUGGUUAUUAAAUUAAGCUUCAAUCUAGCAUUGAGCUCCUGAAGGUAUUAGACAAAGGACAAAACUGGAAGGUUUCCACAGCUACAAAAUUAAGCAGACAACACAGGCUUUCCAUUCAUUUGGGGCCCUUAACUAAACUAAAGGGCAAAACACUUGGCAAAAGCAUGAAAAAUUUAUACAUGCAGGUACUUUUGCUAGAUUAGAACACUUAACUUGAUGCAUUUCAAAAAUUCUUGAGGGAGCUUUGCAUUUUAUUGCAACCAGGCAUCAAUGGUAGUCAGCACCUGUCACAUCUUCAAGAAACUUUCACACAAUAAAUCAUUUGCAUUGCCCAAGACAGCUUCCUCUUUAAGCUAAGUUUAUAUUUUAUCCCCCACAUUUAACAACAGAAGUGUAAGUUUUUUCAGACUUGCCACAUAAUGUACUUGAGAAGUACGGGUGGGGUGGGAGGUGCUUUACAUAGCCACAUUCUUCAGAAAACCCUGAAGUUCCUGGUUUAGGACAAAAUUCUGCUCUAUGCACCUGACUCAUGUUCUGCUCAGUGUAGGAGGACUGCAUGGAGACACGUUUUAGCAUAGAAAUCCUUUCCCCAACCUAAUUCUUCUCCUUUGUAUAUCUCAGCAGUCAGCAGAAGUAGUUUUGGAUCUAAAGAUAGGCCAAGUGGAGUAACCCAGGCUGAGGUCUGUGCCCCAGAAUGACCUCAGACAUCACCAUGGUCAUUGUGGUCCCCCUGGUUUUCAUCUACCUCUGGAGUAUGAAGAGAGAAGAAAAACAUCAAUGAAAAAAGAAAGACCAGUCUUUCCUCUAAGACAUGACAAGGUACCCUCUUCUGAAAUCAAAACUCUUUAAUUAAAGAGACAUGAAAUGACAAGAUUUUUAAAAAAAUAUCCUGAGGAGAAGGCAUUCUAAUUUAGAAACCCUAGUAAGAAGGAGGCGGCUCUGAUGUGCCAGGAUUUGGAUUCCUGAAACAUGGCCUGAAUUGAAUAUUCCUCUCAGGUAUUCCCCCAGGUUUCCCACAUGGUAUGAAAGCAUUCCCACAUGGUAUUGGAUUGCCUGUUUUUUGUUUGUUCAUUUGUUUUUUAUCUGUUUCCUGAAGAGUGUGAACGUGAGUCUUAUUAUUCUACGUGUGUCAAAUGAGUACUACAAUGCAUGGAACAAAAGGCAUAUUCAAUAAAUAUCUGGUGAAUGUUUAUUAAGUAACAAUAUGAUUUGGAUGAAUGGAAGUGAGGAAUUAGGAUACAUUUUGUAAAUAUAAUGUUAUUCAUUAAUUCAUUUAUU